GCAAUGUUUUGAAAUGUGGAAUAUUUAGAUAUUUUUCUAUCAGGAUAUAAGAUGGAUAAACGUAUAUAAUUUCUGUUGCCAUUAUACUUUGUAAGGAAACCACACUUGCUACCGUUGGAGGGAGAAAAGCUGAUCAUGUGCGCCAUAUACUAGAGAGACUAUUCACAAAUAGAUUGGCAUUGAAAUACAAUUGGACAGGAAAAAACCAGAAGAUAGCAUUAAAAAAUCUGCAGCUCAUGAAGAUUAUACCUGCUGCUGUUAGAAGAAAUAAAUACACUAGCAACAUCUGUGAUGAUGAUGUGAAUAACAUUUUACGGAACUGGUUCCGUUUCGCAAAGGACAGGAUGGAGGUCGAGACAGCAGAAGACAGUCAGCUAAAUAGAAAAAGACAUCAGAAAAGUGUCUACAGUGGAAGUUCAAAGAGAACUAAUUUGCGAAAAGUGGUAGUUCGUUCAAAAGAAAUUUGUCAAGAAUUAUGUAAUGAAUUCCAGCACAAUUAUAUAAAUGUUACUGUAAACAAACACACUAACAUUCAUGGUGCUGAUUCAAACAAUGCAGAUAUUUCUACAAAUAAUAAUGAUUACAUGUGCAGCAGUUUUAAUAGUAUAAGUAGUACUGGUAAUGAUUCUUCAGUUGAAGAAAUUGAAAAUUCUGAACGUAGUGCUAACAUUGUUCCUGUUGAACAAAAAUUAGUUGACUGGAUGCACAGUUAUAACAUACCACAUAAUGCAGCAACAGCUUUGUAGCACAUUUUGAAACCACACAUGUCAGGUCUGCCUUUUGAUUCACGCUCUUUGCUUCACACUCCAAGGUGCUCAGUAGUGGACACACAUACAUCAGGCCUUUUCAAAUACUUUGGUGUAGAAAAAAAUUUUGUGAAAAGAGCCCUAACUGGAUUAAAACCAUGUCACUACCCAUUGCUAAGAAACAUUUACAGGGACUAUAGUUCAGAAAAUAUGGUGACAAUUUCUGUUAAUGGUGAUGGACUACCAUUAUUUUCCAGUUCAAAUAAAUAAUUCUGGGUUUUGUUGGGUAUACAUGACCAGGCUGUUUGACAGGUGUCCUUUUGUAGUUGCAGUAUAUUAUGGUACAUCAAAGCCUUCAGAUGCUACAGAAUUUCUUCAGCCAUUUGUAAAUGAAUGUGUGUUCCUUGAAGGAAAUGGAAUAAAUAUAAUGAACAAGCACUAUAAGUUUUGUGUCAGUUGUGUAAUUGCUGAUGCACCAGCAAGGUCAUUUGUAAAAUCUGUAGAUGGCCAUAAUUCACUAAAUGGCUGUGAGAAGUGUGUUCAAAAAGGGAAAUACUAUUGUAGAACAACAUGGCCGUACAAAAUUGAUUAUUCACUGAGGUCUGAUGAGUCAUUUAAA